UACGUAGGGUGCGAGCGUUGUCCGGAUUUAUUGGGCGUAAAACGCGCGUAGGCGGCCCUGCAAGUCGGGGGUGAAAGCCCGAGGCUCAACCUCGGAACUGCCUUCGAUACUGCGGGUCUCGAGUCCGGGAGAGGUGAGUGGAAUUCCUAGUGUAGAGGUGAAAUUCGUAGAUAUUAGGAAGAACACCAGUGGCGAAGGCGGCUCACUGGCCCGGUACUGACGCUGAGGCGCGAAAGCGUGGGGAGCAAACAGG
rnacentral:rRNA from 1 species